AGAGUUUGAUUUUGGCUCAGGAUGAACGCUGGCGGCGUGCUUAACACAUGCAAGUCGAACGGGAAAUAUUUCAUUGAGACUUCGGUGGAUUUGAUCUAUUUCUAGUGGCGGACGGGUGAGUAACGCGUGGGUAACCUGCCUUAUACAGGGGGAUAACAGUCAGAAAUGGCUGCUAAUACCGCAUAAGCGCACAGAGCUGCAUGGCUCAGUGUGAAAAACUCCGGUGGUAUAAGAUGGACCCGCGUUGGAUUAGCUAGUUGGUGAGGUAACGGCCUACCAAGGCGACGAUCCAUAGCCGGCCUGAGAGGGUGAACGGCCACAUUGGGACUGAGACACGGCCCAGACUCCUACGGGAGGCAGCAGUGGGGAAUAUUGCACAAUGGGGGAAACCCUGAUGCAGCGACGCCGCGUGAAGGAAGAAGUAUCUCGGUAUGUAAACUUCUAUCAGCAGGGAAGAUAGUGACGGUACCUGACUAAGAAGCCCCGGCUAACUACGUGCCAGCAGCCGCGGUAAUACGUAGGGGGCAAGCGUUAUCCGGAUUUACUGGGUGUAAAGGGAGCGUAGACGGUGUGGCAAGUCUGAUGUGAAAGGCAUGGGCUCAACCUGUGGACUGCAUUGGAAACUGUCAUACUUGAGUGCCGGAGGGGUAAGCGGAAUUCCUAGUGUAGCGGUGAAAUGCGUAGAUAUUAGGAGGAACACCAGUGGCGAAGGCGGCUUACUGGACGGUAACUGACGUUGAGGCUCGAAAGCGUGGGGAGCAAACAAGAUUCGAUACCCUGGUAGUCCACGCCGUAAACGAUCAAAAAUGGGUGUCGGGUGGCAAAGCCAUUCGGUGCCGUCGCAAACGCAGUAAG
rnacentral:rRNA from 1 species